UACGGAGGGGGCUAGCGUUGUUCGGAAUUACUGGGCGUAAAGCGCGCGUAGGCGGCUUUGUAAGUUAGAGGUGAAAGCCUGGAGCUCAACUCCAGAACUGCCUUUAAGACUGCAUCGCUAGAAUCGUGGAGAGGUGAGUGGAAUUCCGAGUGUAGAGGUGAAAUUCGUAGAUAUUCGGAAGAACACCAGUGGCGAAGGCGACUCACUGGACACGCAUUGACGCUGAGGUGCGAAAGCGCGGGGAGCAAACAGG
rnacentral:rRNA from 1 species